rfam:Gossypium hirsutum cultivar TM-1 unplaced genomic scaffold scaffold2114.1, whole genome shotgun sequence
AGUUAAAUUUUUCAUCCAAAUCUACUGUUAAAAACUGGCGUGACUGAUAGAAUAACUAGACAGUAACACAUGACAUGUUAACGUACAUGGAUCAACUUUUAACAGUAGAGAUGGAUGAAAUUUUUAAUU